UAACACGUGAGUAACCUGCCCUCCACUCUGGGAUAAGCGCUGGAAACGGCGUCUAAUACUGGAUACGACCGACCCUCGCAUGGGGUGUUGGUGGAAAGAUUUAUCGGUGGUGGAUGGACUCGCGGCCUAUCAGCUUGUUGGUGGGGUAAUGGCCUACCAAGGCGACGACGGGUAGCCGGCCUGAGAGGGCGACCGGCCACACUGGGACUGAGACACGGCCCAGACUCCUACGGGAGGCAGCAGUGGGGAAUAUUGCACAAUGGGCGAAAGCCUGAUGCAGCGACGCCGCGUGAGGGAUGACGGCCUUCGGGUUGUAAACCUCUUUCAGCAGGGAAGAAGCUUUUGUGACGGUACCUGCAGAAGAAGCACCGGCUAACUACGUGCCAGCAGCCGCGGUAAUACGUAGGGUGCGAGCGUUGUCCGGAAUUAUUGGGCGUAAAGAGCUUGUAGGCGGUUUGUCGCGUCUGCUGUGAAAAUUCAGGGCUUAACCCUGGACGUGCAGUGGGUACGGGCAGACUAGAGUAUGGUAGGGGAGACUGGAAUUCCUGGUGUAGCGGUGGAAUGCGCAGAUAUCAGGAGGAACACCGAUGGCGAAGGCAGGUCUCUGGGCCAUUACUGACGCUGAGAAGCGAAAGCAUGGGGAGCGAAC
rnacentral:rRNA from 1 species